UACGAAGGGGGCUAGCGUUGCUCGGAAUCACUGGGCGUAAAGCGCACGUAGGCGGAUUGUUAAGUCAGGGUGAAAUCCUGGAGCUCAACUCCAGAACUGCCUUUGAUACUGGCGAUCUUGAGUCCGGGAGAGGUGAGUGGAACUGCGAGUGUAGAGGUGAAAUUCGUAGAUAUUCGCAAGAACACCAGUGGCGAAGGCGGCUCACUGGCCCGGUACUGACGCUGAGGUGCGAAAGCGUGGGAGCAACAGG
rnacentral:rRNA from 1 species